rfam:Schistosoma curassoni strain Dakar, Senegal genome assembly, scaffold: SCTD_scaffold0006873
AUCCAGCUGAAGAGUCCCAAAUAGGACGAAAAGAGAGUCUUGGAU